rnacentral:lncRNA from 1 species
GUGCGUGGACGAGCGACCCCGCGCCCGGAUGACCCCUGGGAUUCCCGCCUCGUCUUCCAGCGGGGGACCUAGGGACGCACGGGCGGCUUCAGAUCCGGGAGCGCGAGGCCUAACAGCCGGGGGCCGAACUUGAACCUCGGAGGCGGCCGCGGGCGAGGGGCGGGGCCGAAGGGGCCGGGACCGCCGCCCCAGCUCGAGGACCCGUUAGACCGGCAAACCGCAGUCCCUGCCCCGCGGGCUUCCUUUACUUUUUGGGAGUGGGGGGCGGUUUCCCUGCUUUUUCCACCACAGCCCCUCCUCCCGCCGCAAUGUGGCUGAUGCUCAUAAAAAGUUGUAUUAAAGAGCUGACUGCAGCCGAGAAUCGAUCAACAAAAGCGACCAGCCUCUCUGGGUCACACUCCUUCAGCUUCCCCGUUUCUGAAUCCCAGGUCUAUCCACGGCCUUCUCAACAGAUGACUUCAAGUUGAUUUCGUGCUUUAUUUCUUAAGAAUAGUGACUAACCUAAGGGAUCUGAUUCAAUUUAUUAGGAACACAGUGCCACCUUCCAAAAUUACUUACCUAAGAGGACUGAGCCUGCUGUCCCUGGAGCAGUUAGCUAAAACAGUGCCUCAGUACGGAGCGUACCUGUGUUAACUUCUAGAGUGCUGUUUCCGGCAGCUGCUGAAAUCCACGCUGAGGUUAUCAAGCUCAUCCUACAAAAUAAAGCAAGUUCUUCGCAAUUUAAAGCAAAAAUCUGGGCUUAUUUUUAGGGUUUUGGGGGAUGUGAAAGUUGUCUUAGAUAAGAUUCCAGGAAAGCUAAGAACUAACGAUGCAAUUACAGUCACCUUUCAACAACUUUGGGGAUUGGGUUGAGGAAGGUGUGAAAUUGGGAAAUAUAAUAAAAGGUAUUAUAUUAGUGACUUUCUAGAGUAGCCCUUGGCAGUCCUGUCUUUAAAGAGUAAUAACUGGAAAAAAAAAUGAAUGAUAAUACACUGCAUCCAAGAACCUUGCCUCUGGUGAGGGUAAUUUGCAAACGCAUUUUGGGAUAAUGUUCAGCAUUCAAUAUAAUCUUCCCUGGAAUUAGCAAUGCCUUUUGGGUCAGAGUUUCUUAGGUUUCUUCAGUCAUACAAUUAAAAUUGUUUCUGGAUUAUAUUGCCCAUAUUUGUUUCUAAUUCUCCAUUUUGCCUGUGUUUUAACUGCUAGCGAUUAAUAACUGCCAUAUAAUAAGCUAAGCAUUUAUUAUGUUUCAGGCACUGUUCUAACUGCAUUAAAAUAAUAUCUCAUUUAAUUCUCAUAAAUUUUGAGAAAAGUUUUAUUAUUCCUAUUUUACAGUUGAGUAAACUGAGGCUUAAAGUUAAGCAUAUUGUCCAAGGUGCCUCCACUCCUUAGUCAUAAGCUAAAUUUGAUCUGAGUGACUCCAAAACCUGUUCUCUUAAUGGUUAUGCUGAAAUGCCCUUCUUAGAAUGAUUCCUCAGGAAGUCAAAUGCUAGGUAUAUAGUACAACCACUUUGGAAAACUGGCAAUAUCUGUUAAAGUUAAACAUAUGAAAACCCUAUGGCCCAGCAGUUCCACGCUUAGGAAUAUACCAAUGUCCCAUGUGUGCCAAAAGACUAUUAAAUCACUCAGAGCAACCCUAUUCAUAAAUAACCCCCAACCAGGAAACAACCCAAAUGGUCAUAAACAGUAAAAUAGAUAAAUAAUUGGUGGUAUAUUCAUACAACAGAGUACAUUCUACCACACUAAGAAUGAACAAUCUGCUUCCAAAUGCAGUAAAAUAUAUGAACCUUACAAAUGUGCUAAGUGAAAAAAGGGAGAUGUACAAUUGCGGGACUCCAUUUAUGUGAAGUACAGAAACAGACAAAAGUCAUUGAUGCUAUUCAAAGUCAGGAUAGUGGUUACCCUUGAGAGAGAGCUGAUGACUAGGAGAGAACACCAAUCGGCUUCUGGGGAGCUGGUAGUGUUGUUUCUUGAGCUGGGUACUGGUGUGUUCAGUUUGUGAAAAUUCAUUGAGCUGUACUAUUGAUAUAUGCAUCUCUGUGUAUGUAAAUUAUGCUUCAAUAAAAAGCUUUAAAAUGCUGU